UACGUAGGGUGCGAGCGUUAAUCGGAAUUACUGGGCGUAAAGCGUGCGCAGGCGGCUUCGCAAGUCAGACGUGAAAUCCCCGGGCUUAACCUGGGAAUGGCGUUUGAAACUACGGAGCUGGAGUGUGGCAGAGGGAGGUAGAAUUCCACGUGUAGCGGUGAAAUGCGUAGAUAUGUGGAGGAAUACCGAUGGCGAAGGCAGCCUCCUGGGCCAACACUGGCGCUCAUGCACGAAAGCGUGGGGAGCAAACAGG
rnacentral:rRNA from 1 species